rnacentral:rRNA from 1 species
GACGUAGGGUGCGAGCGUUGUCCGGAAUUAUUGGGCGUAAAGAGCUCGUAGGUGGUUUGUCGCGUUGUUCGUGAAAACUCACAGCUUAACUGUGGGCGUGCGGGCGAUACGGGCAGACUGGAGUACUGCAGGGGAGACUGGAAUUCCUGGUGUAGCGGUGGAAUGCGCAGAUAUCAGGAGGAACACCGGUGGCGAAGGCGGGUCUCUGGGCCGAUACUGACGCUGGAGGA